AACAAAAAGGUAAGAAAAAAAUAGCGAACUGAACCAUCUUAGUAGCUAUAUUAUAAAAUCAACCGAGAACUCUAUUAGUAAAGGCGAUUGAAUAUAGAGACUAGCUUAGCUCCGUUUAGAAUAUAAAGAAUUUAGAAAGAGUUGAAAACCUCUGCCAAAG
rnacentral:rRNA from 1 species